UACAGAGGGUGCGAGCGUUAAUCGGAAUUACUGGGCGUAAAGCGUGCGUAGACGGUUUCGUAAGUCGGGUGUGAAAUCCCCGGGCUCAACCUGGGAAUUGCAUUCGAAACUGCGAGGCUAGGGUACGGAAGAGGGAAGCGGAAUUUCUGGUGUAGCGGUGAAAUGCGCAGAUAUCAGGAGGAACACCAAUGGCGAAGGCAGCUCGCUGGGACGGUACUGACGCUGAGGCGCGAAAGCGUGGGGAGCAAACAGG
rnacentral:rRNA from 1 species